rnacentral:lncRNA from 1 species
CCUGAACUCACAGAUGGAGAGCGCUGACAGCCCUGAGCAGGUCUCCACCCACACCCAGAUCUUCCACAGAGGCUGGACGAUCGAGUGUCCUGCUGUAGAUGACGCUUGUCUUGGCUUUAUGCUGGUUCACCCCACCAAGGUGGUGAAGGUCAAAGCAGAAGAACCAACUUGGACAGACGAUUCUACGUCGGAUGCUUCUGUUCUGCAACCUGAGUAAGGCCCGGUGAAACACCAUUCACAAAGCUUCUCAUGGUCCUCUCUGGAUCACAGACAUCCCCCUGGUGUUGAGUCCAUACCUUUGGGGUAUGGUGCGGAGAAGGGCCAAGCUCCAGCCAGGGCCGAUGUGAACCACCGAACCCCUGGCAGGCUGCAGUUUCUACUCCAAUUACACAAGCGAUGUUAGGUAUUUUGGGGCUUUGCAUCUUGAUCAGGAAUAUGCCCUUGUGAAAGGGCUGCUUGGUUUUGGCCUGCUGACGUCAGCAGUGUUAAUAUGAUUUAAUUGAUUAAUAGGCAUUAAUGACUGGUAAUGAAGGCCUAACCUGGUAGCUGGGAGGAGCUCACAAAACAUGCCUAUAAAUGGAAGAAUGGCCUUGUUUCCGAUUGUUGACCCUUGCCUGUGGACAGUAGCCCCAUUUUAGGGUCCUCUGCCUCGUGCGAUACGGGUUAGCAAUACAAUAAAAUGCAUAUAUUAAUAUAUUUCUUAGAAUCU